UACGUAGGGGGCAAGCGUUGUCCGGAAUCAUUGGGCGUAAAGCGCGUGUAGGCGGUUCGGUAAGUCCGCUGUGAAAGUCGGGGGCUCAACCCUCGAAAGCCGGUGGAUACUGUCGGACUAGAGUGCGGAAGAGGCGAGUGGAAUUCCUGGUGUAGCGGUGAAAUGCGCAGAUAUCAGGAGGAACACCAAUUGCGAAGGCAGCUCGCUGGGACGUUACUGACGCUGGAGACGCGAAAGCGUGGGGAGCAAACAGG
rnacentral:rRNA from 1 species